CUGAAGAGGCCCCAGUGAAAAUUGUCCAUGUCCAGCUGUGAGAUCAGAACAUCCUGCGGACAAGGAGAAUGCGUGAUGUCUUGGUUGUUUUGUCUCCUUCAAGACUUCACCGAGCAAUACUUCAGUCCACCAUGGCCAGUCGGAACACAGGAAACAUCAUGGACGACCUCACCUGUCCGCUCUGUCACCAGAUGUUCAAGGAUCCAGUUGUUCUGCAGUCAUGUGGCCACAACUUCUGCCGUGGUUGCCUACAAGGGCAACAAAAAUCUGGAGACAUGGAAGGCCAGGAUAAAACAUGUCCCAUCUGCCAGCAGAUAUGCCCAGUCGACAUGUAUUUCCCCAACAGAGCAUUAUGUAAGUUUGUAGAAAAGGUUAAAGAAUCAGAAAAUCAAGAAGUUGUAGGUCAAAUGAUGGCGGCUCCUCGUGACAUCUCAGACCAACUCACCUGUGGCCUGUGUCACAAAAUCUACAGAGAUCCGGUUGUCCUACAGACAUGUGAACAUAAUUUCUGUCACGAAUGCCUGCAGAAGAGGUCAACAAAUCAAGAGGACACAUCAUGCCCCACAUGCCAGAAGAAAUGUCCUAAGGAUGGCUAUGUUCACAACGUGGUCCUGGCCAAACUGAUAAAGAGGAUGAACCUUCCAGUAAAUCGGGAGGAAAAGCAAGGACAGAAGAAAGGACAGGAGGAAAGGCAAGGACAGGAGGAAAGGCAAGGACAGGAGGAAAGGCAAGGACAGGAGGAAAGGCAAGGACAGGAGGAAAGGCAAGGACAGGAGGAAAGGCAAGGACAGGAGGAAGACAAAGCAAAGGAUCUGGAGUGUAAAGAGCACAAGGAAAGGAUUUCGCUUUUUUGCCUAGAUGACAAAACAUUGUGCUGCUUGGUGUGCAGAGAUUCCAUCCGACAUGUUCAUCAUGAUUUCCUUCCUCUGACAGAAGCAUCAACUAUGAUGAAGGUUACAUUGUCUCUAAAUAUCAUCAAGCAACUGGAAUUACAAGAUAAAGUCAUCAAAAUGAGCAAGAUGCAGGCGGAGAAGAUGACAGAACAUCAGCCGCUUCACCUCUGACGCUGGAUCCAGAGACGGCUCAUCGCAAUCUGCUGGUGUCUGAGGACUUGACCAGCGUCUCCUACCUGUCAAGUAUCUUCAGGAGGGUCCCGGACAGCCCCAAAAGAUUCACUCAUUUCAAAGUAGCACUGAC